GCCAGCCAAGUCCCUCUGCAAGAGGCCGGCUGCUUUGAUCCGUUGGUCCUAACAGAGGAGACGGGCUGGAGUGGGGGACGUGGGAAAGGGACGGUUCUGGCGGUGAUUAUAAAAUGGCAAAAGAGGGUCUGAGGCCAGGGACUCGUUUGCCUGCCCCAGGAGCCUGUUAGGACGCCUGUGAUGUAACAGUGAAGGUAAGGGUUCCACUGACCAUACACAGAAUGCCCUGGAGCGCAAAGGUUCCAGUUGUCACCGUCUCCCUUGUCCCUGAGAUAUCGGGCACCCUCUAUUGAAAAGGCGUCUGUUGUACCACGAGGCUCUUUCUCGAUUUGGAUCUCCAGAGGCCUGGAAGGCAGCGAAGAUGACCAAAGAAGAACGCAAUGUGGAGGCCAGCCAAAAACAGAGGCUGUGGGAGACUUCUCAAAGCUGUUUGUCGGCCUCGGCAAUGUGUCCAGGACGGAUGUCAGCCCCUUCCGGACCUCUGCGAGGAGCAUCAGUCUUCAAAAUGAAUAUCUGAAGGGAGCGUAAGGAGGAUUAAGGUGGCGAGCACUGCGCUCCGACACAGAUGCUUUUAUUUAUUUUCAAGUUUAACUGCUUUCGCAGUUGGGGUUGCAAAUAUCGACGUUUGCAAACCACCCGAAAUACUUAGCUACAUGGGUGGUAAACAAACAAACAAACGUGCUCCUUCGUGGGGCUAAACUGUGGAACUCCCUGCUGCAGGAAAUCAUCAAAUUAGAUGGCUUUAAAAAAGGGGAAUCGGACAAAUUUGGAGAGGGUAAGGCAAUCAGUGGCUGCUUAGCUUGAGAGGGAUUUACUCUGCCCAAGUAAGCAUGCACAAGAUUGCAACCCUUAAGCGUUUUUAAAUUCCACUGAUUUCAGUGUUGACUCCUAAAGAAAUAUUUCCAUUCCUUUGAAGGCUUCCAGACUGGUGUCCAUUUAUGAGGUGGGGGGCUUCCCAUGUGUGAAAAUAAUUUUGUAGCAACCACGUGCCACCUUGCUUGCAUCGAAACUCCAGCUUCCCCCCUUUCUUUUUGCAUUUAAUCUGGGUUUUACCCUUUCUGGGGGCGAUCCAGUAAUCCCUUUCUGGAAGGCCAUUGCUGCCCUCAUGAUCAGAGGCAGCCUUGCUGUGAAUAUUAGUUGAGAGUUAGCAACAGCAGGAGAGGGCAGUUCGACGCCUCGCCCUUCUUGUGGCCUUCAUAAGAACGUAAGGACUCCCCUGCAGAUGGAUCAGGCCAAAGGGGUGUGGGAAAUUGCAGUUAAACAUAAUUUGCAAGCAUAGAGCUAGUUAAGGCACGAAAGGGUUAAGACCACAGAGCUGCACUGCUAGACUCAGUUAGGUCACACACCCCUCGUCUCCAGUGAGGGAGGAAGUGAAUCUCCUUUCCUUAUUCUUCUUUGUGCCAUGUAACAUACCAGGAAGGACAUGUCUGAUCUUGAAACUAUCUUUCUGUAUUUUGUACCCAAGAGUAUUCUACCUGUGUUCUCCUUGCUGCCACGUGGAAUGAUACAUGAACCAGACCUUUGGAUUUUGCAAGUAAAACUUUUAAACUUA